UACAGAGGGUGCAAGCGUUGUUCGGAAUUAUUGGGCGUAAAGGGCGCGUAGGCGGUGCUGUAAGUCUGUGGUGAAAUCUCUGGGCUCAACUCAGAGUCUGCCAUAGAAACUGCAGUGCUGGAGUGUGGGAGAGGUGAGUGGAACUGCGAGUGUAGAGGUGAAAUUCGUAGAUAUUCGCAAGAACACCAGUGGCGAAGGCGGCUCACUGGCCCGGAACUGACGCUGAGACGCGAAAGCGUGGGGAGCAAACAGG
rnacentral:rRNA from 1 species